rnacentral:tRNA from 1 species
GACUCCGUGGCGCAACGGUAGCGUCUGACUCCAGAUCAGAAGGCUGCGUGUUCAAAUCACGUCGGGGUCA